GGGUGCGAUCAUACCAGCGUUAAUGCACCGGAUCCCAUCAGAACUCCGCAGUUGAGCGCGCUUGGGCUAGAGUAGUACUGGGAUGGGUGACCUCCCUGGAAGUCCUAGUGUUGCACCCUC
rnacentral:rRNA from 1 species